CUCCAAGCUGUUUCCAUUGGUAAUUCAUAGUACCAUAAUAGGAAAACAACAAAUACAAGUUCCAAGUCUUUGUUGUGGAACCGAUAUUUACCAGUGAAUUUUGUAUUUUCAGUUAAAUCUCCAAUAAAUGUUAAAUUUGGAGGCUAGGACUCAAGGAAGAAAUUAGAUCGAUGAAGCUUGAUCAUAUAACAAGAGUUCUGGAGGAGUUAAAUUGUACUCCUUCCUCGGAGGAACCAGACUCAUUCAUAUUGGAUUAUUGGCACGACAAUUCUUGAGAAGCAGAUUGUUCAUGGAGCUUUGUGUAAGCUUUGGAAGGACGACUACAUAGAUACAGAGCCCAAGACAGGAGGGAAUCUGCGAAUGCUGCAGGUUAGUCGCGCCGUUCCCAGUUCUGAAGGAACUGGACGGCAUGGUACAGUUCAGAGCCCUUUUCAGUUUUCAGGGGCAUGUAAAUGUAACAAGGUGAUCUUUCCAAUUCUCCCGUCGCUGUGGACCUGUGGUGUUUUCAUCAGACUGUGUGUAAAUAGGACUUCUUGGACUACUUCCUGGAGCGAUCCUUCUCAUGAUCAUGUGACAUUCACAUGACCAGAGCCCAGAGAGGUUGAUGCUAUUGUAAUUUUCCUCCCUGUUCACAUGGGUAUGAUGAGGUCGAUGUAACCAACUUCCCAGCCACUACUCCAAGUUGGGUGAAACCAGACAAGGUUAGAUUUAUCAGAAUUGACCGUAUUCUGAGAAAUCCACGAACAAUUGACGUGUUUUCAACUACAUAGUACAGUACUUUGUAUCUGCAGUGACAGAAAGUUCUAGAUGAAACUGUAGGUUCAGUAUUGCUACCCAAACCCAGUUGAUAAUCUGA